CCAAUGUGGAUAACCCCAGGAGUUCAGGCUCCUGGCUCUGUCCAAGUGGCACAGGGGAGCACAGGGCUUGGGCUCUGCCUCGUGAUGUGCAGUCCCUUUCUGAAGUGCUGGAGAAAAGGCUGGGCCUUGAGUGCGCCUGCAUACUCCUCCUCCUUCUCAGAGUCCUGUGGCCAAUGACUGAGGAGACAAACUGCACAGGAGACCGUC
rnacentral:snoRNA from 1 species